AACGAACGCUGGCGGCAGGCUUAACACAUGCAAGUCGAACGCAUGCCUUCGGGCAUGAGUGGCAGACGGGUGAGUAACGCGUGGGAACCUACCCCUUGGUACGGGAUAGCUCCGGGAAACUGGAGAUAAUACCGUAUGUGUCCUGAGGGACAAAGAUUCAUCGCCAAGGGAUGGGCCCGCGUCGGAUUAGCUAGUUGGUGGGGUAACGGCCUACCAAGGCGACGAUCCGUAGCUGGUCUAAGAGGAUGAUCAGCCGCAUUGGGACUGAGACACGGCCCAAACUCCUACGGGAGGCAGCAGUGGGGAAUAUUGGACAAUGGGCGCAAGCCUGAUCCAGCCAUGCCGCGUGAGUGAUGAAGGCCCUAGGGUUGUAAAGCUCUUUCACCGGUGACGAUAAUGACGGUAACCGGAGAAGAAGCCCCGGCUAACUUCGUG
rnacentral:rRNA from 1 species